rnacentral:lncRNA from 1 species
AUUAAAUUAUCUGCCAAUAAAACUCCGUUGUUUUUACUUGUGUGUUGUCAGACUUAUGACACGUAUGACGUUCCAUAGUUCCAAAACUUUCUUUUUCAGUCCAAGGGAAAUAAAUCAAUAACCUUCCAAUAUGAAUCCUAUAAAUGAACCUAUAUAAAACGUAUGCACGUGAUCACUAACAACCAAUCACUGCACUGGUCACUUUUUAAGUCAAAUUUCAAGAUGUCUGUUGCAUUUUAAGCCGCUCAUAUAUUUUGUGCAUUUUUGUAUAUCAACUGGAACUUAUACAUUUCCAGGAUACUGAUACCGAUACCGAUACACAAGUAUCUCUGUUUAUCAUCUUUAUUAUCGUGAUCUUGAUAUAAGAAGGAAACAUUAAAUCAAUUAUUACAGUCUGCAAACUUUCUUUUGGUUGUCCCAUAUUUAAAGGAACCCAUCCCAUAGAUACCAUGAGUAUAUUAUAGCCGUGGCAAUGCACCAAGGAAAUAUAUUUAUCUAAAACGAUGAACUGAAAAGUUAAUCAAUAAAUAAAUAAAUAAAGUGGGGCUACCAAAAUGGCGCCCAACAUUUUUUCUAGCAGACUUUUAUAUAGUGCAUUGUGAGUGAACUACUUUGGAAUUUUAUAAUUCCGGAUGCUGUUAUAAAAUGUGACGUUAUGCUUGGAUUCGAUUUGGAAACAGGAAUGGAAUCUGAAACCCAGCUGCGAAAAGGAUCGAUUAAUGGACGGGGCCCGCUACGUUGGAUGCAUCUCUACACGGAUAUAGACGUCAAUACGGGGAAUUUCUUCAGGAUACAGGAACAUUUGAGGAACUUUUGAGCAUUUGUGUUUAGGACGUUUAAAUAACGCAGUGUGUUUAAUUUUGUGUAAUUGUGAGGAAUAUUGUGAUUGUAUUGGAGAACUGUAAGUUGCAUUUUUAUAUUGAUAUUCUUUUGCUAAGAGAGUAAUAAUUGUUUUUGUACCAUUUAAUGGUAUUAGUAUGAGUGUAUAAUUACAAUUUGUAAGAUUAUUUAAGUUUGAUAGACAAUUUGUUUAGUAAAUAAUAGCCUAGA